GCCCUGGUGGUGAAACUGGUAGACACACUGUCUUGAGGGGGCAGCGCCGCAAGGCAUCCCGGUUCGAAUCCGGGCCAGGGCACCU
rnacentral:tRNA from 1 species